rnacentral:rRNA from 1 species
UACGUAGGUGGCAAGCGUUGUCCGGAUUUAUUGGGUUUAAAGGGUGCGUAGGCGGUCUUGUAAGUCAGUGGUGAAAUACGGCAGCUCAACUGUCGAGGUGCCAUUGAUACUGUAGGACUUGAGUACAGACGAGGUAGGCGGAAUUGACGGUGUAGCGGUGAAAUGCUUAGAUAUCGUCAAGAACACCGAUAGCGAAGGCAGCUUACUAGGCUGUAACUGACGCUGAGGCACGAAAGUGUGGGGAGCAAACAGG